AAUCUUUCUAUUGUUGUUGAUUUAUCCUUGAUAGCUAUUGGGUUGUGAUUCCUUCCCAUUUUCCCCAAUCUGUUUGCUGAAAAUGGGUAAGAAAUUAAGAAGCAAGAGGGGUAGCUCAUCCAAAAUCCCUCUUAAAGAAUUCCAUUCUAGCUUAGUGAAAAAGAAAUUGGGCCCUAAUAGUUCAAAUCUAGCCAAUGAUAAAAACCAGAGUAAUAUAGACUAUAUGCAAAGGCAGUUAGAACUUGAGUUUGAACAUGAUGAUUUUGACAUUGAAGAGACCUACUGUGAUGCCCCUGAAGCUUACAAUGCCAUGGUGGGUUCUAGUGUUUGCCAGGGCUCUUCUUCAGAACAAGGCCUGGGCAAAACAACUGUCCCAAAACCAAUGGGGGAUAUUGAGACAGCAACAAAGGGAAGUGCCCCAACCACAAAUGUGCAGGACUACAAUGAGGCAAAAGGGCAUGCUCAGGUCCGAAUGUCAUGUGUAGAGGGUUUGGUGGAUGUGGCUUCUAUGGACUCUCAGACUGAAGCAGAAAUGGUCCAAAGCCAUAGUUCCAAUGGAUUGGGAUAUGAAGAACUGUUCGAAAUCAAAGUGGAAGUUCCUUGGAAACCCCAAGUGUGUGGAGAAUGCAAAAUAUUUGGUCAUGCUACAAGUUUGUAUCCAAGUAAAUCGAAAACUCAAGCUCCUAGUAAACUCAAACAAGGGUGGAAGGCCAAAGAAGUAGCCGAGAUGAAGGAGGGAGGCAAGCCAAAUGAAUGGGUUGAAGUGAAAAAGAAAAAAGGCAAGGACGUUGUUGAUGCUCCUAUGGUUAACUUUGUUCCUACACCUCCUCCAUCUUCAUCGAAUGCAUUUGAUAUUCUCAAUACUUGUGUAGCCAAUGAGGAGGUUUCUUUUUUUGUGGAUCUUAAGAGUGUGCUUUAAUGCGAAUGAAGAUAUUCCGAUGUAAAGGCUUCAAAGGAAGAGAAAGAAAUUGUCGAAGACGUGGGUAAUAUAAAUGGGUUAGCCCCUAGAUGAUCUUCAUGUCCCAAAGGAGCUCCUCAAUCCCUUUCAGAUGGAACAUUCAUUGUUUCAUGGCCAAACCCAUCUUCAAAAGUGGAAAACAAGAAAAAACUUCUUGAGAGAAUUACCAAUCUUAAACUUGCUGAAAAGAAGCUUCAGAGAGAGAGAGAGAACCAAAAGCUUUUCUUGGGUUGGGUUCAAGAUCCCUAGGAGUAGUACAGUGUGGUGGAGUUGGUCUCAAACUUAACCGCCAUUGGCAUCAUCUUCAAGCUUCUGCAACUCAUUCAGAGUGCAGAAGUAUUCUUCCAGUGAUUGUUGCAGGGCAAGCUUUUAGAAUUAAGAGAAGGCAUAGUGAGGAGCGGAGAAUAAAGGGUGCUCGUGCAAGAAAGAAGACUUGUGUUACUGUUUGUGGUGUGUCUGAGCUCGAUGCCUGCUCUGAUGCCUGUGCCCGCACUGUCUAUGUCAACCAACAUCAAGUGCCCAAUUGGAAUGACAUCUGUCUUCGGAGAUGCCAGAGCGAAUGCCUUAAACUCUGCCUCUUGUGCUUCUUAGUGAGUUUUUUUUUUUUUGUUUUUUUGGCCGACUUGAAUUGUUGUUUUUGUGCAACAUGCUGUUAAAAGUAUGGUCUUUAUCCCGUUUUCAAAACCAGACAUGGAUUGUUGUGUUCUUUUGCAUGCUAGCGUUGAGCUACAUAUUAAUUUCAUGAUUCUCGCGACAGAUUGCUUCACUCUGGGCCAACUUGUCGUGUUUCUGUUUCUGUAAUCUUGAUUUGUGCUAUUCUCUUUACUGUUUGGCAUGUGCUAAGGGUAUUCCAUGCAUCAA